AGUAUAGCUCAGUUGGUAGAGUGCUUGUCUGGCGUGCAUGAGGCUCUGGGUUCAAUCCCUAGCACU
rnacentral:tRNA from 1 species